rnacentral:antisense_RNA from 1 species
CGUUAUGGCGGCUAUGUCCAGGCAGACUUUGGUCUGGCCGGGUGGUUCCUGACCGGCUCUCUCACCCUGUCCAUAGCUGCCACCCCU